rnacentral:rRNA from 1 species
UACGUAGGGUGCAAGCGUUAAUCGGAAUUACUGGGCGUAAAGCGUGCGCAGGCGGUUUUGUAAGUCUGAUGUGAAAUCCCCGGGCUCAACCUGGGAAUUGCAUUGGAGACUGCAAGGCUAGAAUCUGGCAGAGGGAGGUAGAAUUCCACGUGUAGCAGUGAAAUGCGUAGAGAUGUGGAGGAACACCGAUGGCGAAGGCAGCCCCCUGGGUCAAGAUUGACGCUCAUGCACGAAAGCGUGGGGAGCAAACAGG